UUUUCUUUUGAAAGUCGCUUUGGUUAGCGUCUGCCAAAUGCAAUGUAAUGUAAUGUAAUGCAAACUUAAGUUGUUCAAAGUUUUGUAGGCACCACGUCACACUAGAAAGUAAACAUACAGGCAUACAAAUAAUGAAUAAAAUGAUCUCAACACGUUAUGGUACUAAGGCAGGAAGUCAUCAGGUUUAUAACAUUCAACACAAACUGGUGAGCACAGAUUUACUGUUGUUUUUUGUUUAUUUCCUAGAUAUUCUAACUGCUGCUUGACAGGAGGAUGAGGUAGCUGCAAGAUCUACUGAACAUGAACGAUGAAGAGCCUACUGACAGCUGUUGGCUGUUCGCCUAAUGCACAAUGUUGACCUGGGUGUUCCCUAUUCAGAUGCUGCUGCCGUCAGUCCACGGAUGUACACAAACGGGUCACCUGAAGGAAGAGGGGGGUCAACGAAACCAAACAAGUUUUGAAAGCAGAGGUGACAUUGCCAGUGUGUCCAACUCUUCAGAGGAGAGCCAGUGGAGGUGGUACGCACAUCAUCCAGGACCAGUUAUGGACCACCAACACCUCUGCCAAGUCUAUCUACACUUCUUGUGAACCAUGUUAAAAACUACCACAAA